AUGAACGCUGGCGGCGUGCUUAACACAUGCAAGUCGAACGAAGCACUUUAUUUGAUUUCCUUCGGGAUUGAUUAUUUUGUGACUGAGUGGCGGACGGGUGAGUAACGCGUGGGUAACCUGCCUUGUACAGGGGGAUAACAGUUGGAAACGGCUGCUAAUACCGCAUAAGCGCACAGCAUCGCAUGAUGCAGUGUGAAAAACUCCGGUGGUAUAAGAUGGACCCGCGUUGGAUUAGCUAGUUGGUGAGGUAACGGCCCACCAAGGCGACGAUCCAUAGCCGACCUGAGAGGGUGACCGGCCACAUUGGGACUGAGACACGGCCCAAACUCCUACGGGAGGCAGCAGUGGGGAAUAUUGCACAAUGGGCGAAAGCCUGAUGCAGCGACGCCGCGUGAGCGAAGAAGUAUUUCGGUAUGUAAAGCUCUAUCAGCAGGGAAGAUAAUGACGGUACCUGACUAAGAAGCACCGGCUAAAUACGUGCCAGCAGCCGCGGUAAUACGUAUGGUGCAAGCGUUAUCCGGAUUUACUGGGUGUAAAGGGAGCGCAGGCGGUGCGGCAAGUCUGAUGUGAAAGCCCGGGGCUCAACCCCGGUACUGCAUUGGAAACUGUCGUACUAGAGUGUCGGAGGGGUAAGCGGAAUUCCUAGUGUAGCGGUGAAAUGCGUAGAUAUUAGGAGGAACACCAGUGGCGAAGGCGGCUUACUGGACGAUAACUGACGCUGAGGCUCGAAAGCGUGGGGAGCAAACAGGAUUAGAUACCCUGGUAGUCCACGCCGUAAACGAUGAGUGCUAAGUGUUAGGGGGUUUCCGCCCCUUAGUGCUGCAGCUAACGCAUUAAGCACUCCGCCUGGGGAGUACGGUCGCAAGACUGAAACUCAAAGGAAUUGACGGGGGCCCGCACAAGCGGUGGAGCAUGUGGUUUAAUUCGAAGCAACGCGAAGAACCUUACCAAAUCUUGACAUCCUCUGACCCCUCUAGAGAUAGAGUUUUCCCCUUCGGGGGACAGAGUGACAGGUGGUGCAUGGUUGUCGUCAGCUCGUGUCGUGAGAUGUUGGGUUAAGUCCCGCAACGAGCGCAACCCUUAUCUUUAGUAGCCAGCGGUUUGGCCGGGCACUCUAGAGAGACUGCCAGGGAUAACCUGGAGGAAGGCGGGGAUGACGUCAAAUCAUCAUGCCCCUUAUGACUUGGGCUACACACGUGCUACAAUGGCGUAAACAAAGGGAAGCGAAGCUGUGAAGCCGAGCAAAUCUCAAAAAUAACGUCUCAGUUCGGACUGUAGUCUGCAACCCGACUACACGAAGCUGGAAUCGCUAGUAAUCGCAGAUCAGAAUGCUGCGGUGAAUACGUUCCCGGGUCUUGUACACACCGCCCGUCACACCAUGGGAGUUGGGAAUGCCCGAAGCCAGUGACCUAACCGAAAGGAAGGAGCUGUCGAAGGCAGGCUCGAUAACUGGGGUG
rnacentral:rRNA from 1 species